GAGCAGAAGGGGGCUGAAGAGAAACUCUGCAGUUGUUCUGUGGGACUACAGAGGUUGUGUGGGGAAAGCCCAGGCAGAAGGCUGGCCAGCUCUGGAAUCCUCUCCUGAGAGGAAGUCUAGCAAGAGGAGACAGCAGAGAGACAGACAAAGCAGCCACUUGGAGCAGAGUGAGCUCCAGUUAAAGGUGGGGACUGGACAUGACCUGGCUGGAGGGCAGAGUCACAACAAAAAGCAGACCACUGCGGGGCCAGAGCAGCUGUUGGAAGGGUGCUAGGGAAGGAGGGCUUGAUCUGCCAUGAUGGGACAUGCUAGCCAGCAAGACUCCCACUAGCUUCAUCAAGAAUUUGCCUGCCGAGUGAAAACUAACAACCUGUGGGCGGUUGCAUCUGUGCUGUGGAU